GAUCCAAACGCGGUCAAGAUCGAGACGCGACAUGUUGAUGGUUCCACCAAUGUCAAAGUUCGCUCAGAGGCCAUUGCUUGGCUCGAGGAGUCGUCGGGUCAGCGGGUCUGCAGAGUCUUGUCCAACGCCAAGUGCCUUACCGAAGGCGUCGACGUCCCCGCUCUCGAUGCCGUUCUCUUUCUGAACCCGCGCAAGAGCAUCGUCGACGUGGUUCAGGCCGUCGGGCGGGUCAUGCGCCUGUCGCCAGAGAAGGACUUCGGCUACGUCAUCCUUCCGAUCGGGGUGCCCGCCGGAGUGCCACCCGAAGCUGCUCUACGCGACAACCAGAAAUACCAACUGGUCUGGCAAGUCCUGCAAGCGUUGCGCUCCCACGACGAGCGCCUUGCAGCCGAGAUCAACAAGAUUG
rnacentral:misc_RNA from 1 species